UAGUUAGAGUAAUACCUCAAGGCCGGUAAAUUUCGUGCCAGCCACCGCGGUUAUACGAAAGACCCAAAAUAGUGAUUCCCGGCGUAAAGCGUGGCUAGACUUGAUUAUAAUAAGGACAAACCUUUUCUUCGCUGUAAAACGCCUAAGAAGAGAUGAAUAACAACCCUUAAAUUAUUAACUCCACGAAAGCUAAGACACAAACUGGGAUUAGAUACCCCACUAUGCUUAGCUAUAAACUUAGAUAAUAUAGYACCACUUAUCCGCCAGAGAACUACAAGCAAACACUUAAAACUCAAAGGACUUGGCGGCAUUUCAUAUCAACCUAGAGGAGCCCGUCCAAUAAUCGAUAAUACACGUUCAACCCUACCAUUUUUGGCACCUCCAGCCUAUAUACCGCCGUCGCCAGCUAACCUUAUGAAAGAACAAUAGUAAGCAAAAUAGCCUACACUAAAACGUCAGGUCAAGGUGUAGCUUAUAAAAUGGAUGUGAUAGGCUACAUUUUCUAUUUUAGAAAACACGGAUUAGUACAAUGAAACCUGUAUAAGAAGGCGAAUUUAGAAGUAAAUUAAGACAGGACCCUUACUUUAACACUGGCCUGAAAUGCGCACACACGGCCGUC
rnacentral:rRNA from 1 species